UGUACAUCCAUUAUUCCAAAU
rnacentral:piRNA from 1 species